ACUGCUCAGUAACACGUAGUCAACAUGCCCAGGGGACGUGGAUAACCUCGGGAAACUGAGGAUAAACCACGAUAGGUCAUCACUUCUGGAAUGGGUAAUGACUUAAACCUAUAUGGCCCCUGGAUCGGACUGCGGCCGAUCAGGCUGUUGGUGAGGUAAUGGCCCACCAAACCUGUAACCGGUACGGGCUCUGAGAGGAGGAGCCUGGAGAUGGGCACUGAGACAAGGGCCCAGGCCCUAUGGGGCGCAGCAGGCGCGAAACCUCUGCAAUAGGCGAAAGCUUGACAGGGUUACUCUGAGUGAUUUCCGUUAAGGAGAUCUUUUGGCACCUCUAAAAAUGGUGCAGAAUAAGGGGUGGGCAAGUCUGGUGUCAGCCGCCGCGGUAAUACCAGCACCCCGAGUGGUCGGGACGUUUAUUGGGCCUAAAGCAUCCGUAGCCGGUUCUACAAGUCUUCCGUUAAAUCCACCUGCUUAACAGAUGGGCUGCGGAAGAUACUAUAGAGCUAGGAGGCCAGUGGCGAAGGCGGCUUGCCAGAACGCGCUCGACGGUGAGGGAUGAAAGCUGGGGGAGCAAACCGGAUAGAUACCCGGGUAGUCCCAGCUGUAAACGAUGCAGACUCGGUGAUGAAUUGGCUUAUUGCUAAUUCAGUGCCGCAGGGAAGCCGUUAAGUUUGCCGCCUGGGGAGUACGGUCGCAAGACUGAAACUUAAAGGAAUUGGGAGAGGCAAGCGGUACUCGAUGGGUAGGGGUAAAAUCCGUUGAUCCAUUGAAGACCACGGCGGGGGAGCAC
rnacentral:rRNA from 1 species